rnacentral:rRNA from 1 species
GACGAACGCUGGCGGCGUGCUUAACACAUGCAAGUCGAACGGAAAGGCCCUGCUUUUGUGGGGUGCUCGAGUGGCGAACGGGUGAGUAACACGUGAGUAACCUGCCCUUGACUUUGGGAUAACUUCAGGAAACUGGGGCUAAUACCGGAUAGGAGCUCCUGCUGCAUGGUGGGGGUUGGAAAGUUUCGGCGGUUGGGGAUGGACUCGCGGCUUAUCAGCUUGUUGGUGGGGUAGUGGCUUACCAAGGCUUUGACGGGUAGCCGGCCUGAGAGGGUGACCGGCCACAUUGGGACUGAGAUACGGCCCAGACUCCUACGGGAGGCAGCAGGGGGAAAUAUUGCACAAUGGGCGGAAGCCUGAUGCAGCAACGCCGCGUGCGGGAUGACGGCCUUCGGGUUGUAAACCGCUUUCGCCUGUGACGAAGCGUGAGUGACGGUAAUGGGUAAAGAAGCACCGGCUAACUACGUG